UAAAUUAAGGUAUAUACAUUUUUUAAAAAACACAAUGCUACUACAGACUUUAUACUAUGGUAGAGCAUAAACUAGCAUUCCCCAACCUUUUUGGCCCCAGGGACUGUUUUCAUGGAAGACAAUAUUUUCCCAGACUUUGUAGGGAGGCGGGGAUGGUUUGGGGAUGAUUCAAGUACAUUACAUUUAUUGUGCACUUUAUUUCUGUUAUGAUUACAUUGUAAUAUACAAUGAAAUAAGCAUACAACUCACCAUAACAUAGAACAGUGGGAACCCUGAGAUUGUUUUCCUGCAAUGAGACAGUCCCAUCUGGGGGUGAUGGGAGAUGGUGACAGAUCAUCAGGCAUUAGAUCUUCAUAAGGAGCAUGCAGUCCAGAAUGCUGGCAUGCACAGUUCACAGUAGGGUUUGUGUUCCUAGGAGAAUCUAAUGCUGCCACUGAUCUGACAGGAGGCAGUGGCAAUGCCAAGCGACAAGGGGUGGCUGUAAAUACACAUGAAGCUUAAUUCACUUGCCCACUUGCCCUCUUGCUGGGCAGCCCAGUUCCUAAUAGGCCGUGGGUCACUGGUACUGGUCUGUGGCCCAAAGGUUGGGGAACCCUGGUAUAAACAUAAUUUGUAUAUGCAGUGAGAAACCAAAAAAAAUCGUAUGACUCACUUUAUUACUGUAUUUGCUUUAUUGUGGUGGUCUGAAACAGAACCCACAAUAGCUGUGGGGUAUGCUUGUUAUUUAGUUUUCUCUCCUCAGUUUUCUGAGGUUUACUUACUACCUCUCUUCAUGCUAGAGAAAUUAAACUAUCACCUCUUUCUGCAUGCGUGCAGCACACAUUUAUGAAGCAGUUGCUCUGUGUAAGGCAGAACGCUACAAUGCCAGCCUACAGCAGGACAGAGGCAGGGUCAGGAAGAUGUGGACCCCAGGGAAGAGUCUCCCACCAACCUACGGUGUGAUGUCCCAGAAGUUGUUUUGUUUUACUGGGAUUCAGUUUCUCCAUGUGUAAAAUAGCAGUUGUUUCACCGAAGGAAUGGUAACCUCACUUCUGGCACUAAUAAGCUAUGAUUUACCCAGAAAGUACAGACUCAGAUCCCCCAAGUAACUCUAGAAGAGGUUCAAGAUUGGAUCUUAACCCCCUUCCCACUCCUCACCCCAGAGAAUUUCAGCAGUGGCCAUGCAAGCUUAUGGACUUCCAAUUUUUUACGACAUUUUGAUGCUUUCUUUUAAGGUGGGCAAAAAUUUCUUUCAGAAUAGUUUGGAAUUGACAGAUGCCUCUAAAACAAUUGCUGCUCUUUUAGACGGUUCUGAAAAAUCUGAGGGAAACACAUGUUCCUCUUUCCAUAGCAUUCCCUUAUUAUGAAGCAAUCAGUGCUGAGAGUGUAACUUUUCACACACAUCAGCUCUGCUCCUAAAAUCAUCGUGUCAUCUCACGGAGUUACACACAGAGUAGACCAGGAAAGUGUUGUUUAAAACCAAAUAAACCCGCUUGCAUUCUCAUAGACUUACCUUUAGCACAAUUUAUAAAACUGGGAUUGUUUAGGUCAUUUUCAGUGUUCCUUAUUAGACAGAAAUUGCCUUUUAUUGGCUCUACUUUUUAACGGAUGUUAACUUGCAUCAACAGACUACCGUAAAAUGCACCUGCGUUGGAGAAAUGUCCAUCUGUCAAUGUAGAGUCUAGUAAAGAAUUCCAAGUGUUAGAUAAAUUGUUUCCAUUAAGUUGAAAAUACUCCUUCGGGUGUGAGCUUUUAAUUCAUGAGUUGCUAUAAACUGAUUCAAAUAAUAACGAGGCUUUUCCCUCUCCUGGCCUGAUAGCAAACUAGUAAAGAACAUGGUCAACCCCUCAAGAAGAUAUUAUAUUGUGAUUCCUACAACUGUCCUGCAGUCCAAACAAUGCUGUUCUGUGAGAAAAUGUGGUUUUUAUAAGGCUACUGUUUUGUCUGACUGUUUUAUUCCUGUUUUACAAAGAAAGUGUGAAAUUUGACUGACAACUCGGUAGACGGAGAGUAAUCAGAAUUGUGGCCCAUGGAGAAAUUAAGAGAGAAACCAGGAGCUGAUAAAAACCGAAAACAGAAAAAAAAUGCAGCCACAUUUAACAUUUUUACAUUUUUUUUCUAAUUUGGAAAAGCACCAAGCAGCACAGAAGAAAUUAAGGGGAAACUUGAUGAAAAACUGUUUACUACCAUAGCAGAGAAUAGACACUGAUGUCUCUUUUCUUCAUGGUAAUGUUCACAGGAUGAUGUCUAGGGUUAAUUUAGGUUAAUCAUGUCACCCCACACAAGGUAAUCUCACCGGUACAGCAACACUUCUGAAGUCUCAUAAAAAUGUGUCUUUUUAUUGUAAUUAUAGUAGGACAAGUUGCAUCCCCAGAAACCUGAAAGGAACAAGGCAACUUUGCCCAUAAAGAAAAUGCUACCCACCACCUUCAGUUUGCUGGGCCCAUCCAAUUAAAAUGAACAUGUAUUUGUUUAGUCUAUGCCAGGCAUGGUGCUAACUGGAAAAGGGCUGGCUAAUUUGUGUAGUUAUUUGGUAGGGCAUUUAUAAGUGCCUGUGUCUGCCGGCAGGUGAGCCCUGCCUGUCCACAGGAGGCCAAGAAGAUCACAACACAAUGGUAAAAGGGUGACAGCAGAGGGCUAUACAAAAGGACCCAAGACCGCAGAGGGACCCAGGCUCCUCGAAGACCACUUCCCUUCCCGUUUACCAAUGUCUCUGUCAGCUAAAUUGUUCAAAAGAGGAAGUCGUGACCUUGCCUUCCUUGAAGCAUUUCUGGCUAUGCCUAAGCUCUUUCAAUGUUAUUUUGCGGUUCAAGCUACAAUGCUGAAACAUAACUGCAACCGGUUAUUGAAAAAUGCAAAUGAGUUACAUGUUCAGGAUUAAAAUGAAACAUUCUUUUCUGAGUCAGCAAAAAGUUUGAAGUAUAUACAUUUAAAAUAUCUUUUUUAUUACAAUAGUAAAAUAUGCUCAUUGAAAAAAAAAACACCCAAACAACACAGGAGGAAAUAAAGUAAAAAGUAAAAAUAUUCCCCUUCCCCAAGGCUUCUAAAGCUUCUUUCAGAGUUCAAGGUCUAUGGUUUUAGACUUUUGCUAUGCCUAACUAAACAUGUAUCUAUGAAGUUUUAAAUGCUUAGAAGCCAUACAACUGAAUUCUUUUCAAGGUAAGUAGAGCAAAUUUAUAUUUUCUGAGCACUACAUGUGUGCAGAACCUCUUAGUGCUUUGCAUGCAUUACUUUGUAUCCAUCGUGUUCUGCAGGAGUGCCAAAGGUUGACCUGUGGGCCAAAUCCCAUCCCUCGCCUAUUUUUGUAAAUAAAGUUUUAUUGGAACUCUAACAUUCAUUUGUUAAGUCUCUGAUGGCUUUUGUGCUACAAUGACAGAACUGAGAGACUGCAAUAGAGACAGUGUGGCCUGCAAAGCCUAAAAUAUUUACUCUUUUGUCCUUUACAGAAAAGAAAUUGCUGACCCCUGAGAGUAGGUAAUUUUAUGUGGAGAAAAAGGACACUGGAUGUAUAUAAAACAAGCUAUUAACAUAGGUUAAAUUAUGAGCAACUCUAAAUAUCUUCUUCAUCCAUUGCUGUGCUGUGUAAAUUUUUACUAAUGAUGCACCUAUUUAUUUUGUGCCUUAACUAUAUAGGCAAUUUAAAUAAAAGUCUACCUUAUGAUGAAAAAACUGAUAAAAUGUUACUAAGGAAAUUCUUAGAAAUUAAGACAAUUUAUAUCUGGCAUUUCCACUGUGUGCACGCAAACACAAUACUCUAGAAGGAUUUUUUACAAAAGAGUUUGCAAACACUCUAUAAGACGACUUAUUUUUCAGUAAAAUUUACCCUCUCAUUUUCUCAGGGCAUGUAUUUUCUUGGCCAUUUGAAAAAUGUGGCAGACACAGUUGACCAUGCAUCAGACUUACUAUUGCUCCUAUUUGGGCACCUAGGUUGCAUUUAUCAGCUUCUUUGGAGUCCGCAUGGCCAUGCAACUGAGUCCUCGUCAAAGGGAUGUGGGCAGAAUGGAAGCACUCCACUUCCAGACCUGGUCUAUAAAAUCCUCCCGCUCACACCUCCUCCAAUUGGCUGAAAAGGGGAUUACCUCUUGAGCGCACUUGGGAACAGAACAAAGACUACAGAGCCACGAGAUGAAAGAACCUGUGCCCCUGGAUCAACACUUGGAGGAGAACCACUCAGGAGAGACGCCUGUUAUGUGAGCAAGGAAUAAAUUUUGCAUUAAGCCUUUGCGAUGUGGAGGUUUAUCUGGUACCUUUCUUAAUGAGAGUUCACUGUAUUUAUGGAGCUAGCUGUUGACAGAUGGCUUUGGGAUGGAAAAAUGAUAUAGAAGUCCCUUCUCUAGGUAAUGUCAUCCAAUAGCUUCUCCUUGAAAUCAAAGUACUGGAAACGCUUUUCAGACCUCCGCCUAACUGGUACUCAAUCACAGUGAAUAAGUGGUAACUACAACUCCCACCCAUGCCUUUAUCUGCCUCUAUUCUGAGGUCUCUACUCGAGCAGUAAUGGCAUCCUUAGGGACCAAUCCCAUCACUCCCCUGCCAGUAUCAUAUUCACCAUGCUUCCUGGUCAAACUCCUCCCUCUCUGCCACAUGAUACUGAGUUCCACGUAACCUAAGAUGGCAUCCGGUAACAAUUUUUAAAUUUAUCAACCAGGAUACUUUCUCACCUACUGACUCCUGUACAUCUUGAUAGGAGAUAAAGGACCAUUCUGCCAUCAGCAAGGAAGCAAUGUAGAUAAAUUCCAAGCCAUUUAUAAUUCAUUCCACCUUCAUUAAGUAUUCAUACACUACUUAUUGGCAAUCACCUAAGCAUUUUAUGUAAUAAAAAACAGAAUAGCUAGAAAAGAACCUGGGUAAGGUCGGUUUUAUUAGGAGACUGGGGGAGAAGAAAAUAAUUGAUUUGCUAUAUUCUUUAUCCCAAACUUUUUCUUGCAGGAAGAAUUUCUGGAUAGGUCGGUUGCAAGUGAAUUAAGUAGCUAUCUUGAGGGUGAUUUGAACAGCACCAAUAGAACGUCACUGCUAUUCUCUUUGAUUCAUUCAGCCCAUGUUUAUUGGAGACUGGCUUUGACACGGCCUAAGAAUAAAACAGAGAUGAAGACAUUGAGACUCUGAGAGAUUAAGUGAUUGCUAAAGAGACAUUUUGUUUUCAAUAUGGAUGAUCGAAAAGAAGAAAAUAAAAAUUGUCCAUCAUCCCACCAUCCAAAGAUUUCAACUGAGAUUUUGGUAUGUAUAACUGUGUGUGUGUGUGUGUGUGUGUGUCUUUACUGUGUGACUACUCAGCUAACUAGCAGAGAGAAAGAGUUCCUGACUUCCAUGUCACUUCUCUCCCUAAAACUUCUCAAUUAGCUCUAAUAUUGGAGAGCCUGGGACACCUGAGUUCCUUCCUCCUGUCUCAUCCAUCCUGAGAAUGCAUGUGUCUCUCUGGGCAUGGUUGGGAAGGACAAGGACAAGUGGAUUUUUCAGUCAUUCUCUAUUACCAACAAUAGAUUGCUUCGCCAAUGAUAGAAACCAUGUGGCCCUCAGAGACAGAGUUUUUAUUUCCUGACGGGGCAUUUUUAUAUGUUUUAGAUUAUUUAACAGCAGAGGAAAAUAUUUACAAUAUACAAUGAAGUAAAAAAACAAGUUUCCCAAACAGAUGCCAACUUAACUAUGUGAACCAAAAUAUCAAUCAUGACCAGCUCAUGGAGGUGAAAGAGGUGAAAUGCUACUCUUUGUGCAUUUCUGCAUUUUCCAGAUUUCGACAAUAAGCAUGAAUUGCCCUUUUAAAUAAAAAAGUGGUAAUCAUGGUAAAAAUAAUAGGCAUGUCUUUUGUUGUUAGGUUAUGUAUUGUUAUGUUUAGUGUGUUGGCUUAAAAAAGUAUCAUAAAGGACAUAAUGUAACCC